rnacentral:tRNA from 1 species
GGGCAGGUGGCAGAGCGGUUGAACGCAUCGGUCUUGAAAACCGACGAGGGCAAAACCUCCGUGGGUUCGAAUCCCACCCUGCCCGCCA